rnacentral:lncRNA from 1 species
GUUGGAACCUAGGGUUUAAUAAUAUGUUUCACGAAGAAUAAAAACAAAAAAUGUUGUCAACGAUAACCAAAAAUACUGCAGAGAUGUUGGGGAGUAUCUCAUUCGUCUUGAUUCGUCCUUUUCAAACCACUCAACAAUGUCCAAAAACAGGUCGAAUGCAAUGUUGUUUUAAAGGAAAACGUCCACUAAUGACAAAAAAAAUCAAAAAUCUUUCCCUUUUCCCUUCGUCUGAGAGUUUAUCUAAAGCACUUUGAAAAACUUUAUGUUCUUCCUCAAUGUCUUCCAUGUGGUCUUUCUCGUGGUCUACUACGUGGUCUUCUUCUGUGACUUCUUCUAUGUCUUCUUCGUUGUCUAAUACAUGCUCUUCCUUAUGGUCUUCCUCGAGAUUAUCUUGGCUUACAUCGAUGUUCGUGAAUAAUAAAUUCUGUAUAUCUGCCCUUUUUGUUUCGAAAAUUUCGUGAUUUUGGGUGAACAGAUUACGUCUAAUAUAUAUAGGUGUUGAAGUUUUGAUCGGCGAUAUACUUUUCUUUAAUAUAUGUGGUGAUCUCUGUGACGUAUAUUUGACGACAGGACUACUCCCACAGGGUUUAGUUCGCUUCGAGGGCGGGGAUAACUUUUAUCUCCAUAGCUUUUUGUAGAGAGUCAAUUUUAGUCCUCUUUUCCUUUUACCUUUGAAUAAUGGCAUUUUCUGAAUUUGAGCAAACAAUUUUAAAUAGUUUGAUUUCAUUGAAUCAGUGAUCAGUUUACAUCUGUUAAAGUAUAAGGACAAAUCUGUGAUGAUUUUUAAUCAGCA